GAAGAUUAUUUGACCAAAAAUCACAAUUUAACCAUUAACCACUUCCCGUAUUCACCUGAUAUGGCACCGUGCAUCAUGCAAACGUAGAGGCCAUUUAAAAGGCUUGCACCGGCCAUGAGCUAAAACAAUCGUUCAACAGGCUUUUGGACCGUGCAAAUGAUGUAUCCCCAAGUGACUAUUUCAAAAAUUGAAAACCAACAUCAAAGCAGUAUUUUAUAUUAAGGGAGGGAUUAGGGUUUCAAGACCUUUAGUACAUUAUUGAGCACCCUUUUGAAAAUAAACGAUGUUUCCAUGAGUUAAGCAUCCACCCCCUCUACUCGGUAAAACUAGCGCAUCCUACUGCGACAGCUUAAUUCACCACAGCUGAUGACAUUACAACACACCACACUUGUACGCAACCCAACUCACAAAGGGAAUGGACAACCGGAAAGUUCUUCAAUUCGUCAGCUGCAGUUCGCCCAACAAUACAUCAACAUUCGCAAUAUCCGCAUCGCUGAUACACUGCGUCGCGUUAAUUUAUUCGCUACGAUCAACACCGAUCCUGUGCGCUCCGGAAAUACUUUUGUUUCAUCAGCGGGCCCAAGCGUCACAUCACCUUAAUUGUUUACGAUCAACUCCUUCUACGUACAGCUUUGGAUCAGAAGCGAUCCUGAUAUAUUUAUAUAUAACCAAGUUCAACAGCGAUCCCGCACGUAUUCAUUUCACCAUUUAAUUAAGUUUUUCAUUAAGUGUAAAUAAAAUUUGUGGUAAAA